rnacentral:lncRNA from 1 species
AUUUGUUAUCUAAAGGCGAAUUGUUGUUGAAAUUCAGAUAGACUGUAAUGGUUUCCUCUUUUUUCUUUUUUUAAAAUGUAAAUUAGGGUAAAAAAUGAAUUAUCUUGAAGUGAAGUGAACCUCAGCGAAGGCAGAGGUGGAUCCAAGAUUUGAACUUUGUGGGUUCCAGUUCGAAAUUCUAUUACAACUUAUUUGAAUUACUGUGUUCAAAUCUAUUAUUUCUACUUAUUUAGUGAAUUUUGUUUUUUACAUACUAGACUUGAAUGAACCCAUAACUUGUACACUACAUGCGUCCCUCCGUGGAGAGAAUAGUUUUCUCCAAUAAUUAUUUUGCAGUAAUCAAGUGUUUAGUUUUUUGAAAUUCUCAAAGCAUGCGUCCCUCCAUGAAGAGAAUAGUUUUCUCCAAUAAUUAUUUUGCAGUAAUCAAGUGUUUAGUUUUUUGAAAUUCUCAAAGCAUAGAGCAGGAAUUUUGACUAUGCACUGAAGGGAGGAAAAUUGCUUAUUCAGUUCUUCCUAGUAUUAUGUUUUCGGAUCCUGAGUUGGUUUAAAUAUUUUGCUUCAAUGACUGGACAUUUUGCUGCUUACUGCCUUCACUUGCUUUUUGUUUCAAGACUAUAUAUUCUGCUACUUACUGCCAUCACUUGCUUUUCGUUUAGAUAUUAGCACUUUUGUCUGCUUAUUAUUUGCACUUGCUAAUCAUCCCACAAUAGCAGCAAUUUGGCCAUUUUAACUUAAAUGAAACAGUGAAAAUCAAUCAAUCAACUGCGCCUCAAUUCCAAAUCUGUUGAGGUCGGCUAUAUUAUAAAUUUUGUUUUACUGAGGUUAAUUUCACUUCAAUACUAAAUGAUUUACCUUAUUGUCUUCCCUCACUAAAGUAUUAUACAACAACUAAGCCUCAGUCCGAAACAAGUUGGGGCUCAUUAAAGUUUCAUGAUUUCCAAAUUUCUACUCUCCCAACUAUGUUCAUACUUCAUACCUCCGGCUAGCUUGAUAGCAUCUUUGGCUGACCAACGAACUUACGUCUAAUUAUGAGUCAUACUAUAUCAUUGUUUGGUCCUAGAACCCAGACAAAAUCAAGUUUCAGAGAAUUAGACAAGCUCUUGGAUUAGCUCUUUCAAUCUGUAUAUAUCCGAUUCUGAAGAAACCAGCCAUUGCCUUCUGGCUCUCGCCCUUGCUGGUG